rnacentral:rRNA from 1 species
ACGCUCGACACCUACGGGAGGCAGCAGUGAGGAAUAUUGGUCAAUGGGCGCUAGCCUGAACCAGCCAAGUAGCGUGAAGGAUGAAGGCUCUAUGGGUCGUAAACUUCUUUUAUAUAAGAAUAAAGUGCAGUAUGUAUACUGUUUUGUAUGUAUUAUAUGAAUAAGGAUCGGCUAACUCCGUGCCAGUAGCCGCGGUAAUCUGAGCGGGCGUGGCAAGGC